UCCCUGGUGGUCCAGUGGUUAAGACUCUGCACUUCCAUUGCAGAGGGCACCUGUUCUGUCCCUGUUUGGGGAA
rnacentral:tRNA from 1 species